CGUCUAUAUACGCAUAGCAUAUCAAUAAGCGGAGGAAAAGAAACUAACUAGGAUUCCCUCAGUAACGGCGAGUGAAGCGGGAAGAGCUCAAAUUUGAAAUCUUCAAGGUUCUACCUUGACGAAUUGUAGUUUAAAGAAGUGUUUUCUGUUGGAGUUUUGGUAAAAGUUCUUUGGAAUAGGACAUCAUAGAGGGUGAGAAUCCCGUAUUUGACCAUUAUUUUCAACUGUGUGAUACACUUUCAAAGAGUCGGAUUGUUUGGGAAUGCAGUCCAAAAUGGGUGGUAAAUUUCAUCUAAAGCUAAAUAUUGGCGAGAGACCGAUAGCGAACAAGUACCGUGAGGGAAAGAUGAAAAGAACUUUGAAAAGAGAGUUAAACAGUACGUGAAAUUGUCAAAAGGGAAGCGUUUGACACCAGUGUUGUUUUCUCGAAAAUCAAUUAAAAAUGGUGGGAUUUUGUGUUGUAUUGACUUUAUCAGCUUUCUGCACUUUUUUCCUAUCUUUUUUAAUGCACUUUUCGUUUAACAAGUCAACAUCAAUUUCUUUUGUUGUAAAAGAGUCAUUGGAAGGUGGCUUUCACUUUCGGUGAAAGUGUUUAUAGCCUUUGACUUCUGCAAUCGGAGAGAUUGAGGUCUGCAGCGUAGAUCCUUCGGGGUUAGAUACAUUUGUGCUAAGUUAUAGCCUUUUCAUAGACAACAUUGUUGACUAUGAUUCAGUCAUGUAGCUUACUCGCUUAUGUUAUUUUACCUACGCUUAGGAUGUUGACGAUCAGCUGAGCGCG
rnacentral:rRNA from 1 species